AUGCUCCUCGUUUGCACAGACGAGUGUCCAGGUUACUUUUCUAAAACCCACCACUAAUGUGAUUAGAAGUAUUGGCCGGGACCUUUCACUAACAAGAAUCAGGUCUUUUUCCUGGGAGACCUUUAUUCUCAUGGGAAUCAGACAUUCAGUCUUCAGAAAAAUGCAAACUUUGUUACUAGAUUUAACAGUAAUUUGGGAAAAAAGACGUGACAAAACUAUUUUUGGUGUUAAAUACAAUCCAAUAAACCACUAUAACUCAUUGUAUUGCAGACGCAGUGUUUCUUUUGUCAGCUGUUUCCUGCAUUGCUGGGAAGCUACAGUGUCGCCCUCGGUUCAGUCUUGCAGAGACACUUAAAUAACAUGGACAUAAAAAGCCCUGCACAUAAUACCAGCUGUUGUAGACGAGUACAUCAGGGAAUGAUUGUGUACUGUACUGUUUUAUAAUCAAUAAAAUUGUUAUGAUUCAUGAA